ACUUCCUUUCUUUAGCCACACACACCAGUUCCUUUGCCGCGACCGCACCCAGCCCACGCAAAGCCUCCACCCCCUGUUUUAUGCUGGGUCCCAUGCCCAAAAAAUACUUGCGAACCGUUUGGGCCGGUACCCCCUGUGGACUGCGUCAAAGGCCCCUGCAACUUGUGGAAAAAUCGGCUGGAAGGAUUAUGUCUGCCUUUG
rnacentral:lncRNA from 1 species